rnacentral:tRNA from 1 species
GGGAUUGUAGCUCAGUCGGUAGAGCAGUUGACUCUUAAUCAAUUGGUCGUAGGUUCGAUUCCUACACGACCCACCA